CUUCUUCAACCGUGGAAAGAACAGAAAAUAGCAGCCAUGGAUGAGCUCCAUUCGGCCAAGCUUUUAUGGCUUAUAUAGAGUUUCCAAGUUAGCUCGGGUUGGAGGCCGUCAGAGAUAUUAUCACCCUAUCGAGUUAACGUUAUCGGAGUAAGUAAACUCAAGUGAUUCGAGUCUAUGGCAUGUAUAGGGUUUUAAUGUGAGUAUGUAAUAUUAUGAUUUAGCCAAAGGCAGUGGCUUGUUAUUAAGGUAGUAUUAGUCAUGUAAAUUGGCCUAUGUCGGCUAAUGACAUUAUGGGCCCAUAUGAUUAUUCUUAUGCAUGUAUGUUAUUAUCUCUUGUGAUGUGGCUUACAACAUGUAUGCCUAGAGAUUGAAUUGAGAUUCAUUGAUGAGCUAGUAACUAAUGCAAGAUUAAGUGAUUGGUAAA